AAAGACCACAGGUGGCCAGACCUCCAAGUUGCUUCUUGGCCGCUCAGAGAAAUAGACAUGGGAUAUGCAAAGCAGACAGAUAGCUCUUCAUGUGGCCUCUUUCUUUUGAACUAUAUCGAAUACUGGACAGGGGAUGAACUGUCUGACAGUUUUACCCAGGAUGACAUGUCACACUUUAG